rnacentral:rRNA from 1 species
UGCGGUCGAACGAAGUCUUCGGACUUAGUGGCGCACGGGUGAGUAACAUGUGGGAAUCUACCUAAAGGUUCGGAAUAACUGCGGGAAACUGUAGCUAAUACCGGAUGUGUCCGUGAGGAGAAAGCUUUAUGCGCCAUUGGAUGAGCCUGCACUUGAUUAGUUUGUUGGUGGGGUAAUGGCCUACCAAGACUUUGAUCAAUAGCUGAUUUGAGAGGAUGAUCAGCCACAUUGGGACUGAGACACGGCCCAAACUCCUACGGGAGGCAGCAGUAGGGAAUCUUGCACAAUGGAGGAAACUCUGAUGCAGCGAUGCCGCGUGAGUGAAGAAGGCCUUUGGGUUGUAAAGCUCUUUCGUCGGGGAAGAAAAUGACUGUACCCGAAUAAGAAGGUCCGGCUAACUUCGUGCCAGCAGCCGCGGUAAUACGAAGGGACCUAGCGUAGUUCGGAACUACUGGGCUUAAAGAGCUCGUAGGUGGUUAGAAAAGUUGAUGGUGAAAUCCCAAGGCUUAACCUUGGAACUGCCAUCAAAACUUUUUGACUAGAGUGUGAUAGAGGAAAGUGGAAUUUCUAGUGUAGAGGUGAAAUUCGUAGAUAUUAGAAAGAACACCGAUUGCGAAGGCGGCCCCCUGGACUGAUACUGACGCUAAGGUGCGAAAGCGUGGGAGCAAACAGGAUAGAUACCCUGGUAGUCACGCUGUAACGAUGUCACUA